CUGUGGAGUCGGGCCAGGGCAGGACUGGUUGUGGGGGGAUCUGGUGAGUCCCAGGCCUGCAAGCAGGGUUCCCCCUGCGAACUGGCCUCUAGGGAGCCGACCGCAGAUCCCUCAGCUGGGUUUUCCUUCCCCACACAUGAUUCCCAAUUGGUAGCGUUUGCUGAGAAAUUUCCCCAGCCAGGCUGGUCCAGGGAAGCUGCCUGCGGAGUGUGUGACUAGAGGUUGGGCUCGGAGGCUACAGUUUGGAUGUUAGGGUAGUUGUAUAACCUACACCUUGAGCCCUGCGCCCCUUUGUGAUGAGGGAAAAUCCUGGGACCAACGCAGCCUGAUUCCUGCCUGAGGAGGAUCCCUGCCAGCAGACAGCAGCCCCUCUGCAGGGACUGAGGAGUCCAGCGUCAUCUU